rnacentral:lncRNA from 1 species
CAGCACAUGUGGUCUUUAUGAUCCUGCAGUUCUUCUCCCAAGAUGUUGGCUGCUUUCCCUUCAUUCUUGAUGCCCUGAGUUCUGCCCAGUCAGUCCAAGGGACAGGGCUCCACCUGGCAUAUUUCCAACUGGCUUGUGCAAAUCAUGUGUGCCCACCUACAGGCCUUGAAUGCUCCACAGUCCAGGAGCCUGUCCUUUAUCAGGGAGCUUUAUCAGGGAGGAAGCUUUAUUGGGGAGGAAGACCAGGUUCUGCACGCUUAACUGCAUGCCUAAGCCUGAUUGUCCUAAAUCCCCUGGAUAGCCCAAGAGCCUUCUGUUUCUCUCCACUCCAUCUCCAUUGCUCAAUUCAGACCUCACUAUCUUCCCUCUGGUAUGUUACAACUGUCCCAUAAAUGAUGCCCCUUCCUCCACCAACUCUGACUGCAAUCUACCCUUUCCAUGACCACCAAAGGGAUCUUUCAGAGAAGGUCCUGGUGAUGAUCCUGCACAGUUGACAUAAUUACCACCACCUUCCCAGGUGCCGAAAUUGAGACUGAGAGAAAAACAAUCAGCCCCCGAUUUUACAGCUACAGAAUGCUGGAGCUGGAGCCUAGCGUCCUGACCCCUCUACUGCACUUACAGAUUUCUCCGGAUCUUGACUACAAUCCAAAGCAAUCGUGCUGGAACUAAGGAGAGCUGUAGCCUCAUCCAUCAGACUGAAUCUUUUACUUUUCUUCUGGCUGUUUGCAUGUUAUAAACAAAGCUACGAGUUACUCUUUUUUUCCAAGGUGGCACACAGUAACUGUGGGGAGGGUCAGAUGCUUUUCUUGGAGUACUGAUUCCAAGGAAAUACCUUAAUCUCAUUGAGUCAAUUCAUUAGCAGCUUCUAAGACUUUAAUCAACUAACAUUUCUGUGCUAAGUCAAAACCAAACUAUUUAAAAAUUUUUAAAAAAACAAUUUCUAAUGAACCUGACUCCCACUUAGAGUACUUCAGCUGAGAAUCUUUUUUGGCCCCUCCCUAAUUGUCUAAUUAAUGCAAUAUUAAAUUGACACCAAGCAAAUGGGAGCUGAAUUGUGUGCUAACAGUUUGGGCAAACUGAGAAGAAGUGUAAUUUCUGUGCAUAAGCCAGAUGGGAGCAGAGAAGAGGAAGGGAUAUGUGCAUGCUAAUUUGCAGUUUGACAAACUCCUUUUGUAAAAAUAAACACUUUUGCAGAAGUCUAAGGAAAGCAAAUGUCAUCCAUUUCAUACCAUACAAUGCCUACUCAUAGAUAUUGAACAUGU